AGCAACCACAUGGUAGCUCACAACCAUCUGUAAUGGGGUCUGUGAUAAUGGUGUUCCCUUAUUUCCCUUAUAAUAUAUAUAUAUAUAUAGAGAGAGAGAGAGAGAGAGCAAGCUGGGAUAGAUGUCCCUUCCCUCACAACAAACAACAACAACAACAAAAAACAAGAACAACAACUAGCACCACAGUGAAUCCAGAGAUGGCUUGUCAGUGGCUACUGGUGUCAAGCUUCUUGGGUUAAACCCUUCCCUCUACCCCGAGGGGCUGUGCCUGCCACAGGUUCAGUCUAUGUGUGUGGAGCCUCCAGCAGGCAGAGGCUGCCUGUUCUUGCUUUGUUCCCCCCUCAGGGUCCCCUCACUCUGGAUCCCAGCCCCAGUUUCCAUUCUUUCUGCCUUAGGCUGGGUCAGCGGGGAUUUCUUUCUACCCCAGUUUCUACCAGGUUCGUAGAAAGGCUCCUGGCCGUAGCCCUGGGUGUCUGUGUACAGAAUGUUUUCAGAUGACAGUGGCCUGUCUUCACUUUGAGUGAUCACUGCUGCCCCCAAACCCUCUUAUAUUGGUCUGAGGGAGAUGCGGUGGUGGGCAGGUUCCUAGAGAGGUAGGGGAAUGGGGACAGGAUGGGGGACACGUCAUGGGAUUCAGGGUGGAGACUGACUGAUGGUGUGAGAUUCCAUCUGGCUGGCUGCAAUUAUUGGUUCUGGUCUAGCACAUGAUUUAAGCAACACCAAUGAGAUUGGACUCUGGGGCUUCUAUGGGAACGUGUGUGUGUGUGUGUGUGUGUGUGUGUGUGUGUGUGUGUGUGUGUGUGUGUUGCAGUGGGGGCUGGGGGGGGCGGUGAUGGUUUUCUCCUGGGUUUCCAAGCUUAAGGAUGAAACCCUGUGUGUGAUGGUUUGUAUAUUCUUGGACCAGGGAGUGGCACUAUUUGGAGGUGUGGUCUUGUUGGAAUAGGUGUGACCUUGAAGUAGGUGUGUCAUUGUGGGUGUGGGCUUUAAGACCCUCACCCUAGUUGCCUGGAAGUCAGUCUUCCACUAGCAGCCUUUAGAUGAAGACAUGGAACUCUCAGCUCUGCCUGCGCCCUGCCUGCCUGGAUACUGCCGUGCUCCCACCUUGAUGAUAAUGGACUGAACCUCUGAACCUGUAAGCCAGCCCCGAAGUAAAUGUUGUUUUUUAUAAGACUUGCCUUGGUCAUGGUGUCUGUUCACAGCAAUAAAACCCUAACUAAGACACCGUGCAAGGGGACAAGGCCACAGUGUACAAAGAACUUGCCGAGAAAUAAGGUCAAGCUGUGGGACGAUCUUUUUGUACCUGGAUCCAGCCAUGCCUGAAGCUAGAAAUUUAUCUGCAGAUUUUUCAGUUAUAUUAAUUUAUGAAAUGUGCUUUUCUUUUUUCUUAGUGCUGGGGCUCAAAACCAAGGCCUCAUGUGCCUGGAUUGUACCUAGCCCCCCACCCAUCCCCCCAGUUCACAGUAAGUCAAGUCAAAUUGGAUUCCUGUUUCCUGCAAGUGAGAAACAUCUGGACAAUACCCUAGUAGCUGGGGGAAAGCAGCCUUGGCUCUCUGAGUGGGUGAGAUUCCAUAAGCUAGCACAUACACAGCCCAGGGUGACACAGUGUGUCACUGUAAGACACUAGCUUCUCCUGUCUUAGUCUUAUGUAUUGUUCCUUUCUGUUCACUGGGUCUAGGGAGGGUUGAGGGGGUGGGAGGAGAAGCUUGUUCAGCCACAUGCAUUUAUUAUAUAAUAAAUAUAUAUAAUAAAAUUAAAAAUAUCAGAGGGACAUGAGAUGGCCAGUGUCUUCUCUCUUGCAUCUCCCAUCUACGGUGAGUAGUAGCUCAGUUGAUAGAGUGUUUGCCUGGCAUGCAAGAAACCCUGGGUUCAAUCCCCGGCAUGGCACAAAUCAGGCAUGGUGGGGGCAUGGUGACAUGCACCUGUAAACCCAGUAGAGAUUGGGAGAGUCAGGAGUUCAAGGUCAUCUUGACUACACAGUGAGUUCAUGGCCAGAUGAGAUCCGUGAAACCCUGUCUCAGAAUAUGAAGGGAGGCAGAGAGAUCGCCCAGUGGGUGAAAGAAUUUGACAUGCAAGCCCAACGACCCACGUUUGAUCCUUAGAACCCAUGUAAAACAUCAAUUUAUUUGUCUGUAAUCUCUGCACCUCAUCCUGAGACGGUGGCAACAGGAGAACCAUCCAGAAGCCUGAGGGCCAGCUAGACUACAGUUCAAAGCUUCAACGAUAGAAGCAGCAAGAAGGACCCUGCCUCAGCAAGAUGGAAGGAAAGAGCCAACUCCCCAAAGUUGUCCUUAGACCUUCAGGUCCUCCCCAUGUAGGCUAGCCUUGAGUGCAAUCCUCCUGCCUCACCCUUCCAGCUUUUUGGUUACAAGUGUGGGAUUCACAAUUCUGUUUCACGGAAGCCGCCUGACCUAAGGAUCGUUGGCACCAACUUCCUAGUUGGAAAUCUGACUCCUGUCGAUUUACUGCGUGAGGUCUGGCGAGACUUUCAACCUCACCCAAGCUUGAUUUGAUAGAAAGGGGACAAUAACACUUCAGAAAAUUAUGGAAGUCCACCAUCCUCAUUGGAACCCGUCCUGAGGAGGCACGGGAACCAGGGCGCUCUGGUGACUGAUCUGGGUGAGGCUCCAGUCUCUCCUAGGGACUUGAGAAGAUCAGAGGUGAUCCGCUAGGGCUUCUGAAAGAGAAGUGACUCUGGCGGUUUGGGCACGUUGUCCUGAAGUCAUCUAUCCCAGGGGAAGUGUGGACCACUCCUGAAGACUGACCACGCCCCACAUAUUUGGAUUUCGCCUUCUACCAUGUGCUGCUGUGUGUUUGCUGCGGUGCUAGAAUCUUUCCAACACUCCAGGUCAAACUUUUGUUUGUUUGUUUAUUGCUGUACAAAUACAAACAUCAAUUUUCAGCAAAGCUUGUGGUUUUUGCUUGGAGCUGCAGACUCUUCCAUCCCGAGGCUUCCCACAGCCGGAGGGUGGUUCAGACAUUGAAGCAAACUAAGAAUGGAAACCAAGAGCCAGCAGUUAAAGGGGACUUCCCUGGAACUCACUCUGCUGAGGUCGCCUGGCCUGGCACUUCCACCUGAGCUUCAGGUCCUGUGGGAAAGCAUUUGAGAUAGCAACGAUCAUAUUAAGCCUACCAGAGAGCCCUGCCCUGGCCAGCUACCGAUGCACGCAUGCGCGCACUCACGUUUCUUACCUUCCGGCCAUCUGUGGCCUUCUCUCACAUUUUAUGUCUUGAAAUUCUCUGCUCUGUGCUUUUAGAACUCAGCGACAGUAAAAACUAAACAAACA